rnacentral:rRNA from 1 species
AUUGAACGCUAGCGGCAGGCCUAACACAUGCAAGUCGAACGAGUGGCGGACGGGUGAGUAAUGUCUGGGAAACUGCCUAGUGGCGGGGGAUAACUACUGGAAACGGUAGCUAAUACCGCAUACCAUCGGAGCGGCCGAGAUUGGAUUAGCUAGUGGGUGGGGUAAAGGCUCACCUAGGCGACGAUCCCUAGCUGGUCUGAGAGGAUGACCAGCCACACUGGAACUGAGACACGGUCCAGACUCCUACGGGAGGCAGCAGUGGGGAAUUUUGCACAAUGGGGGCAACCCUGAUGCAGCCAUGCCGCGUGUAUGAAGAAGGCCUUCGGGUUGUAAAGUACUUUUAGCGGGGAGGCGGUAUCCGCAGAAGAAGCACCGGCUAACUACGUGCCAGCAGCCGCGGUAAUUC